ACCUGGCAGGGGAGAUACCAUGAUCAAGAAGGUGGUUCAUGGAGGUACCAUGAUCAAGAAGGUGGUUCACCCAUGCGAGGCCUGGCCAUUGCACUCCGGUGGGGCUGACCUAUGCGAAUUCCCCAAAUGUGGGAAUCUCGACUGCAUAAUUUGUGGUAGUGGGGGACUGCGUUCGCGCUCUCCCCUG
ensembl:snRNA U1 U1 spliceosomal RNA